CCAAAGCAAUGACUUAAAGAGGAACGGACUCGUUAGAAAAGUAUAAGACAGUAUUACGAACUCGUUAGAAAAAUAUAAGACAGUGUAAACGUAGAUACUUCAGGGUGGUAACGUCGUUGAGCUAAGGUCGUCUCGAGAGACUUCGAGGAAUGAAAUGAACGAAGAGGAAGGGUCCCAAACUCAACCCUUUCCUAAGAACUCACCAACCCGUUACCACCACCACCACCACCACCACCACCACCACCACCACCACCACCACCACCACCACCACCAUAAUCAACACCAUCACUAUCAACCAAAGAGAGGACAUUUUUGUAGUAGUAUCAGUAUAAGUAAUAGUAGAAAUAAUAAUCGUGCGAUUUAUUACGAUUCAGGUGAGAGAGAGAGAAAGAGGGACAAAGAGAGAGAGAGAGAGAGAGAUUCUUUUUUUUUUUUCUUUUUUUUUCCCUUUCUUUUAUUUCUCUUUUCCUCUUUCUUUUUUCUGUUUCUUCCCCUUUUAUAUGGCGCACAUGCUAAUGCGAUGUUGGCCCCUUCUUUCUUCGAGGUUCGACGCCUCGCCACCCAUCAAAAGGGGAAUGAUGAUAUGUCCUGGUGUGCGUUAAAAAGCUCUCCUAAGGAGUCAAGAUGCUGUGAAUGGACCCCCGUUACGGAACAGAAAGCGGACGGCUAUUUCAUCGGAGUAAAAUGUCCUCGCGAAAAGUCUGCAUAAAUUUUGCGAAGAGAGUUGGAAUUAGUCAAGAGGAUAAAACAUCGGUAGAAAUUAGUCCGAUUAGAUGGGAAAGAUGAUAUUAAUUCCGUUCCAGUUUCUUAUUCCUAAGGGACGUUUCUUAUUCCUAAGGGCUUAAGACUGAACGAACGAGCUACGAAACGACAGGAUAAAUUCGGAGGAUUUCAAGUUUCAUAUCGUAUGUACGUCGGCCGUUAGAUCGAACGAUAUUAAGCCCACUGAGACAUUAUCGAAGAAGCAAACUAUAGUUGACUAAGAGAUUCGAUGAUAUCGAAGUUUGACGUUGGUCUGCUCGAUAGGGAUUACAACAUUGUUCAUUAUCUAUUUUCAUUAAUAAUAGCAAUUAUUA